GAUAGGUAUCCGGCCUAAGAGGGUGAACGGACACAUUGGGACUGAGAUACGGCCCAAACUCCUGCGGGAGGCAGCAGCUAAGAAUAUUCCGCAAUGGGCGAAAGCCUGACGGAGCGACGCCGCGUGUAUGACGAAGGCCGAAAGGUUGUAAAAUACUUUUAAACCCGAAGAAUAAACACGGAAGGGAAUGUCCGUGCGGUGACGGUAAGGUUUGAAUAAGCAACGGCUAAUUACGUGCCAGCAGCCGCGGUAACACGUAAGUUGCAAGCGUUGUUCGGAAUUAUUGGGCGUAAAGGGCACGUAGGCGGUUGCUCAAGCUUGGUGUGAAAUGCCUCGGCUUAACCGAGGAGGUGCAUUGAGAACUAGGUGACUAGAGUUGCUGAGGAGAAGCCGGAAUUCCAGGUGUAGGGGUGAAAUCUGUAGAUAUCUGGAAGAACACCAAUGGCGAAGGCAGGCUUCUAUCAGAUAACUGACGCUGAGGUGCGAAGGUGCGGGGAGCGAACAGGAUUAGAUACCCUGGUAGUCCGCACAGUAAACGAUGUACACUAGGCGUUUGCCCAAGUGGCGAGUGCCGAAGCUAACGCGAUAAGUGUACCGCCUGGGGAGUAUACUCGCAAGGGUGAAACUCAAAGGAAUUGACGGGGGCCCGCACAAGCGGUGGAGCAUGUGGUUUAAUUCGAUGGUACGCGAGGAACCUUACCUGGGCUUGACAUAACAAGCGAUUCGCUGGAAACAGCGGAGCGUAGUAAUACGGUUUGUUACAGGUGCUGCAUGGCUGUCGUCAGCUCGUGCCGUGAGGUGUUGGGUUAAGUCCC
rnacentral:rRNA from 1 species